rnacentral:rRNA from 1 species
CCUACGGGUGGCUGCAGUGGGGAAUAUUGCGCAAUGGGCGAAAGCCUGACGCAGCGACGCCGCGUGAGGGAUGAAGGUCCUCGGAUCGUAAACCUCCGUCAGCAGGGAAGAACGGUCACUGUGCUAAUCAGCAGUGAAUUGUCGGUACCUGCAAAGGAAGCACCGGCUAACUCCGUGCCAGCAGCCGCGGUAAUACGGAGGGUGCGAGCGUUAAUCGGAAUUACUGGGCGUAAAGCGCUCGUAGGCGGUAUGUCAAGUCGAGGGGGAAAUCCCCGCGCUCAACGUGGGAACUGCCGUUGAAACUGGCAAACUGGAGUGUGUGAGAGGAUAGUGGAAUGCCAGGUGUAGGAGUGAAAUCCGUAGAUAUCUGGAGGAACAUCAGUGGCGAAGGCGACUAUCUGGCACAUAACUGACGCUGAGGAGCGAAAGCGUGGGUAGCGAACAGGAUUAGAUACCCUUGUAGUC